ACGGGAGGCAGCAGUGGGGAAUAUUGCACAAUGGGGGAAACCCUGAUGCAGCGACGCCGCGUGAGCGAAGAAGUAUUUCGGUAUGUAAAGCUCUAUCAGCAGGGAAGAAGAAAGUGACGGUACCUGACUAAGAAGCUCCGGCUAAAUACGUGCCAGCAGCCGCGGUAAUACGUAUGGAGCAAGCGUUAUCCGGAUUUACUGGGUGUAAAGGGAGCGUAGGCGGUGCUAUAAGUCUGAUGUGAAAGCCCGGGGCUCAACCGCGGGACUGCAUUGGAAACUGUAGGACUGGAGUGUCGGAGGGGUAAGUGGAAUUCCUAGUGUAGCGGUGAAAUGCGUAGAUAUUAGGAGGAACACCGGUGGCGAAGGCGGCUUACUGGACGACAACUGACGCUGAGGCUCGAAAGCGUGGGGAGCAAACAGGAUUAGAUACCCUGGUA
rnacentral:rRNA from 1 species